rnacentral:rRNA from 1 species
GACGAACGCUGGCGGCGUGCUUAACACAUGCAAGUUGAACGGAAAGGGCCGGCUCUUGUGGGGUGCGCGUGUGGCGAACGGGGGAGUAUCACGCGAGUAAACUGCGCUUGACUGCGGGAUAACUUCUGGGAACUGGGGUGAAAACCGGGUAUGAGCUCCUUAUGCAUGGGGGGUGUGGGUAAAAGACGGCGGUUGGGGAUGGAAUGGCGGUUUAUCAGCGUAUUGGUGGGGUAGUGGGUUAACACGGCUUUGACGGGAAGCCGGCCUGAGAGGGUGACAGGCCACAUUGGGACUGGGAUAGGGGCCAGACUCCUACGGGAGGCAGGAGUGGGGAAUAUUGCACAAUGGGCGGAAGCCUGAUGCAGCAACGCCGCGUGCGGGAUGACGGCCUUCGGGUUGUAACCCGCUUUCGCCUGUGACGAAGAGUAAGUGACGGUAAUGGGUAAAGAAGCACCGGCUAACUACGUG